UACGUAGGGUGCAAGCAUUAAUCGGAUUUAUUGGGCGUAAAGGGCGCGUAGGCGGAAAUGCCAGUCAGAUGUGAAGGCCCGGGGCUCAACCCCGGAACAGCAUUUGAAACUACAUUUCUAGAGGGUAGGCGGAGAAAACGGAAUUCCACAAGUAGCGGUGAAAUGCGUAGAUAUGUGGAAGAACACCAGUGGCGAAGGCGGUUUUCUAGCUUAUACCUGACGCUGAAGCGCGAAAGCAAGGGGAGCAAACAGG
rnacentral:rRNA from 1 species